ensembl:snoRNA
AGGUUAAUUUAAGACAUAAUAGCUACGGGACUGACCUGAAAUGGAGAAAUUACUCUUGCUGAUCACUU